UCCCUGAUGGUCUAGGGGUUAAGACUUGCACUCCCAAUUCAAGAGGUACAGGUUCGAUUCCUGGUCAGGGAA
rnacentral:tRNA from 1 species